rnacentral:sRNA from 1 species
AAGCACCUUUUCACUAUGCCACUAGGGG